rnacentral:rRNA from 1 species
UACGUAGGGUGCGAGCGUUAAUCGGAAUUACUGGGCGUAAAGGGUGCGUAGGCGGUUCGUUAUGUCUGCUGUGAAAGCCCCGGGCUUAACCUGGGAAUGGCAGUGGAAACUGGCGGGCUUGAGUACUGCAGGGGAGACUGGAAUUCCUGGUGUAGCGGUGGAAUGCGCAGAUAUCAGGAGGAACACCGGUGGCGAAGGCGGGUCUCUGGGCAGUAACUGACGCUGAGGAGCGAAAGCGUGGGGAGCGAACAGG